CGUGGGGAGCAAACAGGAUAGAUACCUGGUAGUCCACGCUGUAAACGAUGUCGGUUUGGAGGUUGUUCCCUUGAGGAGUGGCUUCCGGAGCUAACGCGUUAAAUCGACCGCCUGGGGAGUACGGCCGCAAGGUUAAAACUCAAAUGAAUUGACGGGGGCCCGCACAAGCGGUGGAGCAUGUGGUUUAAUUCGAUGCAACGCGAAGAACCUUACCUACUCUUGACAUCCAGAGAAUUUAGCAGAGAUGCUUUAGUGCCUUCGGGAACUCUGAGACAGGUGCUGCAUGGCUGUCGUCAGCUCGUGUUGUGAAAUGUUGGGUUAAGUCCCGCAACGAGCGCAACCCUUAUCCUUUGUUGCCAGCACAUUAUGGUGGGAACUCAAAGGAGACUGCCGGUGAUAAACCGGAGGAAGGUGGGGAUGACGUCAAGUCAUCAUGGCCCUUACGAGUAGGGCUACACACGUGCUACAAUGGCGUAUACAAAGAGAAGCGACCUCGCGAGAGCAAGCGGAACUCAUAAAGUACGUCGUAGUCCGGAUUGGAGUCUGCAACUCGACUCCAUGAAGUCGGAAUCGCUAGUAAUCGUAGAUCAGAAUGCUACGGUGAAUACGUUCCCGGGCCUUGUACACACCGCCCGUCACACCAUGGGAGUGGGUUGCAAAAGAAGUAGGUAGCUUAACCUUCGGGAGGGCGCUUACCACUUUGUGAUUCAUGACUGGGGUGAAGUCGUAACAAGGUAACCA
rnacentral:rRNA from 1 species